CAAGACCUUGCGCUAGAGGAGCGGCCGAUGUCUGAUUAGCUAGUUGGUGGGGUAAAGGCCUACCAAGGCAACGAUCAGUAGCUGGUCUGAGAGGACGAUCAGCCACACUGGGACUGAGACACGGCCCAGACUCCUACGGGAGGCAGCAGUGGGGAAUUUUGGACAAUGGGCGAAAGCCUGAUCCAGCCAUGCCGCGUGAGUGAAGAAGGCCUUCGGGUUGUAAAGCUCUUUUAGUUGGAAAGAAAGAAUUAUAGUUAAUAGUUAUAAUUUAUGACGGUACCAACAGAAAAAGCACCGGCUAACUACGUGCCAGCAGCCGCGGUAAUACGUAGGGUGCGAGCGUUAAUCGGAAUUACUGGGCGUAAAGGGUGCGCAGGCGGCCAUGCAAGUCAGAUGUGAAAGCCCCGGGCUUAACCUGGGAAUU
rnacentral:rRNA from 1 species